rnacentral:tRNA from 1 species
ACCUUCCUAGUAUAAUCAGUAUAAAUGACUUCCAAUCAUUCGGACUUGGUGAAAAUCCAAGGAAAGGUA